UGACGUUGGAAGUGACACCAGUCCCAAACUCACAGUCCUGCCCCCCCUGCACACCAGCGGGAGUUCAGCCACGUUGAUGUGCCUGGCUAACGGAGGCUUCCCGUCCGACUGGACGCUGAGCUGGAAGGUAGCGGGGAGCAGCAGGAGCGGGGAGACCAGUCGCUUGGGCCCACAGAAGGACGGCCUGUACAGCUGGAGCAACACCCUGACCCUCCCUCUCCAGGAGUGGACCCAGGGAGUCUCAGUGACCUGCGAGGCAAAGCAGGGCUCCCAAACUGUCACUGAGAUUCUGAAGAAAUCAGACUGCUCCUAGGGUCCCCUUUCAAAUGUCUGUCAUUAGCCUGAUUGAAAGUGUGUUUGAUAAAGACUCUUCAUCUCUGAUAGGGACUCUCUCUUAUUUCUGUUAGUGUGCAGCACUGAGUCACUGUCUUUCCCUCCCUUUCCACCUCAUUUACAGCAUUUGGGAAUCUGAAGUGCUUGUUACUUUGACCCUUUCAUGUUUUUUGACCAUUUAUUAAUAAAGGAGUUUGAUGAAAUUAA